rnacentral:rRNA from 1 species
GUGGGGAAUAUUGGACAAUGGGGAGAACCCUGAUCCAGCCAUGCCGCGUGUGUGAAGAAGGCCUUUUGGUUGUAAAGCACUUUAAGCGAGGAGGAGGCUACCGAGAUUAAUACUCUUGGAUAGUGGACGUUACUCGCAGAAUAAGCACCGGCUAACUCUGUGCCAGCAGCCGCGGUAAUACAGAGGGUGCAAGCGUUAAUCGGAUUUACUGGGCGUAAAGCGCGCGUAGGUGGCCAAUUAAGUCAAAUGUGAAAUCCCCGAGCUUAACUUGGGAAUUGCAUUCGAUACUGGUUGGCUAGAGUAUGGGAGAGGAUGGUAGAAUUCCAGGUGUAGCGGUGAAAUGCGUAGAGAUCUGGAGGAAUACCGAUGGCGAAGGCAGCCAUCUGGCCUAAUACUGACACUGAGGUGCGAAAGCAUGGGGAGCAAACAGGAUUAGAAACCCCGGUAGUCC